rnacentral:rRNA from 1 species
GAUGAACGCUGGCGGCGUGCCUAAUACAUGCAAGUCGAGCGAACAGACGAGGAGCUUGCUCCUCUGACGUUAGCGGCGGACGGGUGAGUAACACGUGGAUAACCUACCUAUAAGACUGGGAUAACUUCGGGAAACCGGAGCUAAUACCGGAUAAUAUAUUGAACCGCAUGGUUCAAUAGUGAAAGACGGUUUUGCUGUCACUUAUAGAUGGAUCCGCGCCGCAUUAGCUAGUUGGUAAGGUAACGGCUUACCAAGGCAACGAUGCGUAGCCGACCUGAGAGGGUGAUCGGCCACACUGGAACUGAGCCACGGCCCAGACUCCUACGGGAGGCAGCAGUAGGGAAUCUUCCGCAAUGGGCGAAAGCCUGACGGAGCAACGCCGCGUGAGUGAUGAAGGUCUUCGGAUCGUAAAACUCUGUUAUUAGGGAAGAACAAAUGUGUAAGUAACUAUGCACGUCUGGACGGUACCUAAUCAGAAAGCCACGGCUAACUUCGU